rnacentral:misc_RNA from 1 species
GAAAUGCGAUAAGUAAUGUGAAUUGCAGAAUUCAGUGAACCAUCGAAUCUUUGAACGCACAUUGCGCCCCCUGGCACUCCGGGGGGCACGCCUGUCCGAGCGUCAUCUCAAAACCCCAUCGGGCCUAAGUGCCCGGCCGUGGGGGCCACGCGCCCGAGGGGAUUGAAUCCCCAGGGUGCCCCCCCGAAACGCAGCGGCGACCCCGAGGUCCCCCGCGGAGAGCGAACGAGGCGUCCCGCCGUCGCACCCGUUGGAGGACCACAUUGGGGUAGGCCCACCGAACCCAGGGAUUUCCAUCCCCUGGAAUCAGCGAACCUUGACCUCGGAUCAGGCGGGGCUACCCGCUGAACUUAA